rnacentral:lncRNA from 1 species
CUUAACCGUACGUAGCAUGGCCAUGCAUUUUCGGAUCCGAUCACUCGAGGGGCCCAGAGAUAUCACUCUCAAUCAGAGAGGGGCAAAUCCCAUCUUGAUUGACCAUGUCUCAUAGCAUGCUUCUUGACAAACCCGAAAGCUACCUUUAUAACUACCCUGUUACGGCGUAGCGUUUGAUGGCCCCUAAGUAGGUCGAUCCACAUCUAGAAUACAUGCGACAAUCUCAGGUCUAAGGACAAAGCGUAUAUGUUGUUUAAAGAGAGAACUACUUCUCGUGUUGGGUCAGUCCCAACACAUGUCUCCACAUGUGUUCACAUUAUUAGUUCAACAUCUCCAUGUCCAUGACUUGUGAAACAUAGUCAUCAACUAAUACAUGUGCUAGUCUAAUAUUCAUGUGUGUCCUCACAUGAACUCCGACUAGGGACAACUUUAGAAUAACCAUACAAGUAAAGAGUUUCACAUACAAUUCACAUAAUUGCAAAUCAAUUCAAGUAGCCUUUAAUGGAUAUUCAAUGAACACAAUAUACAAAUCAUGGAUACAAAUGGAAUAUCAUCAUCUCUAUGAUUGCCUCUAGGGCAUACCUCCAACAGUCUCCCACUUGCACUAGAGUCAAUCUAGAAGGUACCUAAUACCCAUAGCUCUUACAUGCGCAUCAUGCUUAGCUUGCGGGAGUGGUUUUGUCAACGGAUCAGAAAUGUUCAGAUCCGUGUGUAUUUUGCAUAUCUUGAUCUCACCCCGAUUAACGAAGUCUCGAAUAAGAUGAAAUCGCCGCAUUACGUGUUUGUUCUUCUGGUGGUUCCUUGGCUCCUUUGCUUGCGCAAUUGCCCCAUUGUUAUCACAGUAGAGAUUCAAUGGGCUGGACGCAUUCGGGAACACACCAAGCUCAAUGAGGAAAUUCCUUAUCCAAACACCUUCCUUCGCGGCUUCCGAAGCCGCGAUGUACUCGGCUUCUGUCGUAGAAUCGGCCACCGUCUCCUGCUUGGAACUCUUCCAACUAAUAGCACCACCAUUCAGCGUGAACACAAAUCCUGAUUGUGACUUUGAAUCAUCUCUGUCGGUUUGGAAACUAGCAUCGGUGUAACCUGUUACAACGAGCUCCUCCUCACCUCCAUAGACGAGGAACAUAUCUUUAGUCCUUCUCAAGUACUUAAGAAUGUUUUUCACCGCUGUCCAGUGACUCUCACCUGGAUCAGAUUGGUGUCUGCUUGUCAUACUUAGCGCAUAUGAAACAUCUGGGCGAGUACUUAUCAUUGCAUACAUGAUAGAUCCAAUAGCCGAGGCAUAUGGCACUCUACUCAUGCGAUCCCGCUCAUCAGCAGUCGAAGGACACUGAGUCUUGCUGAGAUGUAUGCCAUGUGACAUAGGCAAGAACCCUUUCUUUGCCUCUUCCAUGCUGAACCGCUUCAACACUUUGUCAAUGUAAGUAUCUUGGCUUAAACCUAUAAGCCUUCUCGAUCUAUCUCUAUAGAUCUUAAUGCCCAGAAUAUAUGCCGCUUCCCCUAAGUCCUUCAUCGAAAAACUAUUUUUUAGUGAAGUCUUUACGGACUCAAGCAUAGGAAUGUUAUUUCCAAUCAGUAAUAUGUCAUCCACAUAUAAGAUUAGAAAUACUACAGAGCUCCCACUAACCUUCUUGUAAACACAAGACUCUUCUUCGUUCUUGGUGAAGUCAAACCCUUUGACCACUUCAUCAAAACGAAUGUUCCAACUCCUAGAUGCUUGCUUCAAUCCAUAAAUGGAUCUCUGAAGCUUGCAUACCUUUCCAGCAUUUUUCGGAUCGACAAAACCCUCGGGCUGUAUCAUAUACACGUCCUCAGCUAGGUUUCCAUUCAGGAAAGCUGUCUUGACAUCCAUCUGCCAUAUCUCAUAAUCGAAAUAUGCAGCUAUAGCUAGAAUAAUCCGAAUGGACUUAAGCAUCACUACGGGCGAGAAGGUCUCGUCGUAGUCAACUCCUUGAACUUGUCGAAAACCUUUUGCGACAAGUCGUGCUUUAUAGAUGUGAACAUUUCCAUCCAUGUCCUUUUUCUUCUGAUAGAUCCACUUGCACUCUAUGGCUUUAACACCAUCAGGCGGGUCAACCAAGUUCCAAACUUGAUUGUCUCCCAUGGACUCUAUUUCGGAUUGCAUGGCACUCUGCCAUUUUUCGGAGUCUGGGUCCAUCAUUGCUUCUGCAUAUGUCGCAGGCUCAUCAUUGUCCAACAAUAAUAUUUCCCGCAUUUCGCGGAGCCUUGCCGACCUUCGUGGUUGUGGCGGUGCUUCUCUUGCCAUGGGUAUCUCAACUUGUUCUGCUACGUUAGCAUCACUCAUUGAUUCUUGCCCGAUUGGCUCAUCUUGAACUUCUUCAAGAUGCACUGUCUUUCCACUCUUUUCUCCUUUGAGAAACUCUUUCUCUAGGAAAACCCCGUUUCGAGCGACAAACACUUUGCCUUCUGAUCGGUUGUAGAAAUAAUAUCCCAAGGUUUCCUUUGGAUAUCCCACGAAAAUGCACUUAUCCGACUUGGGUGUGAUCUUGUCUGACUGAAGUCGCUUGACAAACACUUCACAUCCCCAAAUCAUAUCAGACGAACCAUCACAACAUAAUAUACAUGUUAUUCCCUUUGCCUCACGAUAUUUGGUCUAGCUUCAAGCCGACCGCUCUUUCUCGAUCCUGUGAUUCGGAAUCCCUUUGUAGGUUAACUCUUAACCGUACGUAGCAUGGCCAUGCAUUUUCGGAUCCGAUCACUCGAGGGCCCCAGAGAUAUCACUCUCAAUCAGAGAGGGGCAAAUCCCAUCUUGAUUGACCAUAUCUCAUAGCAUGCUUCUUGACAAACUCGAAAGCUACCUUUAUAACUACCCUGUUACGGCGUAGCGUUUGAUGGCCCCUAAGUAGGUCGAUCCACAUCUAGAAUACAUGCGACAAUCUCAGGUCUAAGGACAAAGCGUAUAUGUUGUUUAAAGAGAGAACUACUUCUCGUGUUGGGUCAGUCCCAACACAUGUCUCCACAUGUGUUCACAUUAUUAGUUCAACAUCUCCAUGUCCAUGACUUGUGAAACAUAGUCAUCAACUAAUACAUGUGCUAGUCUAAUAUUCAUGUGUGUCCUCACAUGAACUCCGACUAGGGACAACUUUAGAAUAACCAUACAAGUAAAGAGUUUCACAUACAAUUCACAUAAUUGCAAAUCAAUUCAAGUAGCCUUCAAUGGAUAUUCAAUGUACACAACAUACAAAUCAUGGAUACAAAUGGAAUAUCAUCAUCUCUAUGAUUGCCUCUAGGGCAUACCUCCAACAG